UACGAAGGUGGCGAAUGUUGUUCGGAUUUACUGGGCGUAAAGCGUCCGCAGGUGGUUUACUAAGUCAGGUGUGAAAGCCCCGCGCUCAACGUGGGAAUUGCACUUGAAACUGGUAAACUAGAAGGUGAGAGAGGUGGAUGGAAUUACCGGUGUAGCAGUGAAAUGCGUAGAUAUCGGUAGGAACACCCAUGGCGAAGGCAGUUCACUGGCUCACUCUUGACACUCAUGGACGAAAGCGUGGGGAGCAAACAGG
rnacentral:rRNA from 1 species